UUAAAUAUUAGCAUUUGCACUGUGUUUGGACGUAAAAAUACGCCUACCCAUUUUCAAAUAAUAUGCAUGCCAUGCAUCAUUUGGAUUAUGAAUGCAAGACCUCAUGGGGAUUGGAAUUAACAAAAUAUGUCAUAUCCAUUGCGGGAUUGGUAGACAUUGACAAAGAUAGUGAAUAGCAGAGUAACGGGAAACUAGAAACAAGUUGGACAGGUACAAGCUGUUCUUGGAUUCAAACUAGCCACUUGACCGGGGAUGAAACAAACAGACAACUGCGAGUUUUGUUCUUAUGGAUUCGAACUGGUAACUCACUUGGGGAUAUUGGAAAGUGCGAGUUGUUCUUAUGGAUUCGAACUGGUGACUCGACUGGGAAAAAGAGAAAAUUGGC
rnacentral:lncRNA from 1 species